UACAGAGGGGGCAAGCGUUGUUCGGAAUUACUGGGCGUAAAGGGCGCGUAGGCGGCCCGCUAAGUCGAACGUGAAAUCCCCGAGCUCAACUCGGGAACUGCGUCCGAUACUGGUAGGCUUGAAUCCGGGAGAGGGAUGCGGAAUUCCAGGUGUAGCGGUGAAAUGCGUAGAUAUCUGGAGGAACACCGGUGGCGAAGGCGGCAUCCUGGACCGGCAUUGACGCUGAGGCGCGAAAGCCGGAGGGACAAACAGGG
rnacentral:rRNA from 1 species